rnacentral:rRNA from 1 species
GUGAGGAAUAUUGGACAAUGGGCGCAAGCCUGAUCCAGCCAUGCCGCGUGCAGGAAGACGCAUCUAUGGUGUGUAAACUGCUUUUGUACGGGAAGAAACACUCCCUCGUGAGGGAGCUUGACGGUACCGUAAGAAUAAGGAUCGGCUAACUCCGUGCCAGCAGCCGCGGUACUACGGAGGAUCCAAGCGUUAUCCGGAAUCAUUGGGUUUAAAGGGUCCGUAGGCGGUUUAAUAAGUCAGUGGUGAAAGACCAUCGCUCAACGAUGGAACGGCCAUUGAUACUGUUAGACUUGAAUUACAAGGAAGUAACUAGAAUAUGUAGUGUAGCGGUGAAAUGCUUAGAUAUUACAUGGAAUACCAAUUGCGAAGGCAGGUUACUACUUGUGGAUUGACGCUGAUGGACGAAAGCGUGGGGAGCGAACAGGAUUAGAAACCCCGGUAGUCC